ACCUCCACUAUUCUCUGAUGUUAAUGUUACAAUUAGUCUCCUGACACCAGGAAGCACGUGUGGAGAUACAGCCUGUCCGCCUGUUGCGCCGAUUCUACACUGUGAGGAGUCAUCAUCAUCAUGUUGCAGCAGGUGCGAGCAAGGAUACUUCUGGGGCGCUGCUGCUUGUGACGCAUGCCCUCCCCCACAUGCUGGAUGCCGUGACGUGAUCUGCAUGUCCCC